rnacentral:rRNA from 1 species
AACGAACGCUGGCGGCGCGCCUAAUACAUGCAAGUCGAGCGAGAAGACGUAGCAAUACGUUUGUAAAGCGGCGAACGGGUGAGGAAUACAUGGGUAACCUACCCUCGAGUGGGGAAUAACUAGCCGAAAGGUUAGCUAAUACCGCGUACGCUCCUUGGACUUCGGUUCAGGGAGGAAAGCGAUACCGUGGGUAUCGCGCUCUUGGAUGGGCUCAUGUCCUAUCAGCUUGUUGGUGAGGAACGGCUCACCAAGGCUUCGACGGGUAGCUGGUCUGAGAGGACGAUCAGCCACACUGGCACUGCGACACGGGCCAGACUCCUACGGGAGGCAGCAGUAAGGAAUAUUGCGCAAUGGGCGAAAGCCUGACGCAGCGACGCCGCGUGGGGGAUGAAGGUCUUCGGAUUGUAAACCCCUUUCGGGAGGG